GGUUCAACUGAUUUGAAGAGCUUGCUCAGAUAUGACGAUGGACAUUGCAAAGAGUGGCGAACGGGUGAGUAACACGUGGGAAACCUACCUCUUAGCAGGGGAUAACAUUUGGAAACAGAUGCUAAUACCGUAUAACAAUAGCAACCGCAUGGUUGCUACUUAAAAGAUGGUUCUGCUAUCACUAAGAGAUGGUCCCGCGGUGCAUUAGUUAGUUGGUGAGGUAAUGGCUCACCAAGACGAUGAUGCAUAGCCGAGUUGAGAGACUGAUCGGCCACAAUGGGACUGAGACACGGCCCAUACUCCUACGGGAGGCAGCAGUAGGGAAUCUUCCACAAUGGGCGAAAGCCUGAUGGAGCAACGCCGCGUGUGUGAUGAAGGGUUUCGGCUCGUAAAACACUGUUGUAAGAGAAGAAUGACAUUGAGAGUAACUGUUCAAUGUGUGACGGUAUCUUACCAGAAAGGAACGGCUAAAUACGUGCC
rnacentral:rRNA from 1 species